GCUGACGUAGCUCAACUGGUAGAGCAGCUGAUUUGUAAUCAGCAGGCUAAGGGUUCGAGUCCCUUCGUCAGCUCCA
rnacentral:tRNA from 1 species